rnacentral:lncRNA from 1 species
GGAUUUAUUUCGUGCGUAAUAUGAAUUAGUUGUAAACUAAAUAUAUGCUCUUGGAUAUGUAGGCUAGCCCCUGGUAUUUUUGGUUGCUCUUGGAUAUGAAUGAGUUUUGCUAGUGAUCUACAGCUCCUUUGAUGUUCGUCCAAUGGAGUUUAUUGUAGUGCAUAAGGUUCUCUAGCAUGUGGUAGAUUUUCUUGCUAUUCGGUGCCCUGUAGCAUAUUGUUUUACUGCUGUCAAUAUGCCUUCUGGUUGAAAACUGCACUGUCAACAGUGUUAUUUUCACUAAGUCUGAAACUGUGUGCGAGAUGCCAUUUUGUGAGUUCUUUUCCUAGUGAUCCAUGCUUCCAUACUAGUUGUAUCUAGUAGGGUGUUAUUGUGCAUCUUGACCACUACUGCAUCAUGCCUUGUUUGAGCAUUUUAGAAUCAUGUAGCUUGUUGUUGUAGGGUGCAGAA